UGAUUGUAGCGAAAGAGGAAGGGACGGCUAACUCUGUGCCAGCUGCCGCGGUAAUACANAGGUCCCAAGCGUUGUUCGGAUUCACUGGGCGUAAAGGGUGCGUAGGUGGCGAGGUAAGUUUGAUGUGAAAGCUCCGAGCUUAACUCGGAAAUGGCAUUGAGUACUAUUUUGCUAGAGGAUUGAAGAGGGGACUGGAAUUCUCGGUGUAGCAGUGAAGUGCGUAGAUAUCGAGAGGAACACCAGUGGCGAAGGCGAGUCCCUGGGCAAUUCCUGACACUGAGGCACGAAAGCUAGGGGGGCAAACAGGAUUAGAUACCCUGGUAGUCCUAGCUGUAAACGGUGCACAUUUGCUGUGAGCGGAAUCGACCCUGCUCGUGGCGAAGCUAACGCGAUAAAUGUGCCGCCUGGGAAGUACAGUCGCAAGAUCAAAACUCAAAGAAAUUGACGGGGGCCUGCACAAGCGGUGGAGUAUGUGGCUUAAUUCGAUGCAACGCGAAGAACCUUACCUGGCCUUGACAUGCAGGAUUAUUCGGGUGAAAGCUCGGAAAUUGCCGCAAGGUGUAAC
rnacentral:rRNA from 1 species